GGUGGUGGAGGUAACUUUGGCUGUUGUGGAAACUUUGGAGAAAGAGGAGGCUAUGGUGAUGGAGGUGGUGGCAGCAGAGGUAGUUAUGGAGGAGGCGACGGUGGAUAUAAUGGAUUUGGAGGUGAUGGUGGCAACUAUGGUGGUGGUCCUGGUUAUAGUAGUAGAGGAGAUUAUGGUGGUGGUGGACCAGGAUAUGGAAACCAAGGUGGUGGAUAUGGUGGUGGAGGAGGAUAUGAUGGUUACAAUGACGGAGGAAAUUUUGGAGGUGGUAACUAUGGUGGUGGGAACUAUAAUGAUUUUGGAAAUUACAGUGGACAAUGGCAAUCAAAUUAUGGACCCAUGAAGGGGGGCAGUUUUGGUGGAAGAAGCUCUGGCAGUCCCUCUGGUGGUGGUUAUGGAUCUGGUGGUGGAAGUGGUGGAUAUGGUAGCAGAAGGUUUUAGAAACAGCAGAAAAGGGCGACAGUUCUUAGCAGGAGAGAGAGGGAGGGGUUGUCAGGAAAGCUGCAGGUUACUUUGAGGCAGUCAUCCCAAAUGCAUUAGAGGAACUGUAAAAAUCUGCCACAGAAGGAACGAUGAUCCAUAGUCAGAAAAGUUUACUGCAGCUUAAACAGGAAACCCUUCUUCUUCAGGACUGUCAUAGCCACAGUUUGCAAAAAGUGCAGCUAUUGAUUAAUGCAAUGUAGUGUCAAUGAGAUGUACAUUCCUGAGGUCUUUUAUCUGUUGUAGCUUUGUCUUUUUCAUAACAUCAGGUAUAUUGCCCUAUAAACUGUGGUAGUGG
rnacentral:lncRNA from 1 species